UCCCUGGUGGUCCAGUGGUUAGGACUCCAUGUUUCCACUGCAGGGGUCACAGGUUCAAUGCCUGGCUGGGGAA
rnacentral:tRNA from 1 species